GAUAAACGCUGGCGGCGUGCAUGAGACAUGCAAGUCGAACGGACGAUCAGGGCUUGCUCUGAUCGUUAGUGGCGGACGGCUGAGUAACGCGUAGGUGACCUGCCCCGAAGUGGGGAAUAACUGCCCGAAGGGUAGGCUAAUACCGCAUGUGGUGGUGCCUUCAUGGGCACCAGUAAAGCCGCAAGGCGCUUCGGGAGGGGCCGUGCGUCCGAUUAGCUCGUUGGUGGGGAACGGCUCACCAAGGCGACGAUCGGUAGGUGGUCUGAGAGGACGAUCACCCAGACUGGGACUGAGACACGGCCCAGACUCCUACGGGAGGCAGCAGUCGGGAAUUUUGCGCAAUGGACGAAAGUCUGACGCAGCAACGCCGCGUGAGGGAUGACGGCCU
rnacentral:rRNA from 1 species